rnacentral:rRNA from 1 species
UACGUAGGGGGCAAGCGUUAUCCGGAUUUAUUGGGCGUAAAGAGCUCGUAGGCGGUGUGUCACGUCGGCCGUGAAAACCUGCAGCUUAACUGUGGGCGUGCGGUCGAUACGGGCAUCACUGGAGUUCGGCAGGGGAGACUGGAAUUCCUGGUGUAGUGGUGAAAUGCGCAGAUAUCAGGAGGAACACCGGUGGCGAAGGCGGGUCUCUGGGCCGAUACUGACGCUGAGACGCGAAAGCGUGGGGAGCGAACAGG